rnacentral:rRNA from 1 species
CCUACGGGUGGCUGCAGUGGGGAAUUUUGGACAAUGGGCGCAAGCCUGAUCCAGCCAUGCCGCGUGAGUGAAGAAGGCCUUCGGGUUGUAAAGCUCUUUCAGGUGGAAAGAAAACGCAUGGGUCAAUACCCUGUGUGGAUGACGGUACCAUCAGAAGAAGCACCGGCUAACUACGUGCCAGCAGCCGCGGUAAUACGUAGGGUGCGAGCGUUAAUCGGAAUUACUGGGCGUAAAGCGUGCGCAGGCGGUGAAAUCCCCGGGCUCAACCUGGGAACUGCGUUUGUGACUGCAUCACUCGAGUACGGCAGAGGGAGGUGGAAUUCCGCGUGUAGCAGUGAAAUGCGUAGAUAUGCGGAGGAACACCGAUGGCGAAGGCAGCCUCCUGGGCCAGUACUGACGCUCAUGCACGAAAGCGUGGGGAGCAAACAGGAUUAGAUACCCGAGUAGUC